UACGUAGGGUGCAAGCGUUAAUCGGAAUCACUGGGCUUAAAGGGCGCGUAGGCGGGCUAUCAAGUCCGGGGUGAAAUCCUCCCGCUCAACGGGAGAACUGCCUCGGAUACUGAUGGUCUCGAGGGGGAUAGGGGCACACGGAACUGUGGGUGGAGCGGUGAAAUGCGUUGAUAUCCAUAGGAACUCCGGUGGCGAAAGCGGUGUGCUGGAUCCCUUCCGACGCUGAGGCGCGAAAGCCAGGGGAGCGAACAGG
rnacentral:rRNA from 1 species